rnacentral:rRNA from 1 species
UACGGGGGGGGGCAAGCGUUGUUCGGAAUUACUGGGCGUAAAGGGCUCGUAGGCGGCCAACUAAGUCGGACGUGAAAUCCCCAGGCUCAACCUGGGAACUGCGUCCGAUACUGGAUGGCUUGAAUCCGGGAGAGGGAUGCAGAAUUCCAGGUGUAGCGGUGAAAUGCGUAGAUAUGCGGAGGAACACCGAUGGCGAAGGCAAUCCCCUGGGCCUGCACUGACGCUCAUGCACGAAAGCGUGGGGAGCAAACAGG